GCGGACGUGGCGGAAUGGUAGACGCAAGGGACUUAAAAUCCCUUGGGAGCAAUCCCGUGAGGGUUCGAGUCCCUCCGUCCGCACCA
rnacentral:tRNA from 1 species